rnacentral:rRNA from 1 species
GACGAACGCUGGCGGCGUGCUUAACACAUGCAAGUCGAACGGAAAGGCCCUGCUUUUGUGGGGUGCGCGAGUGGCGAACGGGUGAGUAACACGUGAGUAACCUGCCCUUGACUUUGGGAUAACCUCAGGAAACUGGGGCUAAUACCGGAUAGGAGCUCCUGCUGCAUGGUGGGGGUUGGAAAGUUUCGGCGGUUGGGGAUGGACUCGCGGCUUAUCAGCUUGUUGGUGGGGUAGUGGCUUACCAAGGCUUUGACGGGUAGCCGGCCUGAGAGGGUGACCGGCCACAUUGGGACUGAGAUACGGCCCAGACUCCUACGGGAGGCAGCAGUGGGGAAUAUUGCACAAUGGGCGGAAGCCUGAUGCAGCGACGCCGCGUGCGGGAUGACGGCCUUCGGGUUGUAAACCGCUUUCGCCUGUGACGAAGCGUGAGUGACGGUAAUGGGUGAAGAAGCACCGGCUAACUACGUG